rnacentral:rRNA from 1 species
GAUGAACGCUAGCGGCAGGCCUAAUACAUGCAAGUCGAACGGUAAGGCCCUUUCGGGGGUACACGAGUGGCGGACGGGUGCGUAACGCGUAUGCAACAUGCCUUCCAGCGGGGGAUAUACCAGGGAAACUUGGCGCAAUACCCCAUAGAAUUACGGGACCGCAUGGUCUUGUGAUUAAAACUCCGGUGCUGGGAGAUUGGCAUGCGUGACAUUAGCUAGUUGGCCGGGGUAACGCCCACCAAGGCGACGAUGUCUAGCUGGUCUGAGAGGAUGAUCAGCCACACUGGGACUGAGACACGGCCCAGACUCUACGGGAGCAGCA